UUUCAGGAUUCUUUGAUGAAUAGAAAGCUCAAAAGAUCAGCACAUUAUAAAUGUCUUUACUGUCACUUUUGAUCAAUGUAAUGCCUCCUUGCUGAAUAAAAGUAUUCUUUUCUUUAAAAAAAAAAAAAAUCUUAUUAACUCCAACAAAUGCAAACGGUAGUGUUUGUACUUGUAGGAUGUAGAAUUGUGUUUCCCUUUUUAUUGACAGGAAGAGCUUCAUAUAUUGAAAGGCCACAGCAAACAUUUUAAAACUUCUCUUAAAGAAAGUAAUAUCACAAUUUGACUUUAUUGUUUAUUUCAUUUUUGGAAUAAAAUAUUUUAAAUAAGUAUAUCUAUUUUUACACUAGACCAGUGACCGACUUAUUAAAACAGAUGCAUGUUACAAUGUUCAUGAAUGCUGCUGUUUUUUGUGAUAUCAAGUGUGAUUCUGACAGUGAUCUGCAUUAGCCUUUCAGUAUGAAGUUACAUUGUGCUUUAGAAUAAGUGUUCCUGGAUGCUAGGGGAAGAAAAUUAGUUCAGAAGCUGUUGUGUUGAUUAAAAUGACCCAAAAUGAGCUUGUCUACAGAGAUACAUCAUUAUUUUUUGUAAGACACAAAUCUCUUUUAAAGUUU